CCUACGGGAGGCAGCAGUCGAGAAUCAUUCACAAUGGGCGCGAGCCUGAACCAGCCAAGUCGCGUGAGGGAAGACGGUCCUAUGGAUUGUAAACCUCUUUUGUCGGGGAGCAAAAGACGCCACGCGUGGCGUUCCGAGAGUACCCGAAGAAAAAGCAUCGGCUAACUCCGUGCCAGCAGCCGCGGUAAUACGGAGGAUGCGAGCGUUAUCCGGAUUUAUUGGGUUUAAAGGGUGCGCAGGCGGAAGAUCAAGUCAGCGGUAAAAUUGAGAGGCUCAACCUCUUCGAGCCGUUGAAACUGGUUUUU
rnacentral:rRNA from 1 species